rnacentral:lncRNA from 1 species
UAUGUAUCUUAAUAACGUUCUGUAGUUAUCGUAUGUACUUUUGUGUCUUUUUUGAAUUUCCAGAUCUGUAAACUGGUAAGCUAAUAGUGGCUAUUAUAUUUUUAGUCAAAAACGACCGGAAAUUUACACGAAUUAAACUAACAUUUUAGAACUGAUACAAAUACUGUAGUACGAAGUUAAACAUUUAGCCGUAUUCUAAGUAACCUAUAUAGCAUGCGAGUAAAUGUAAGUCAGAAAUAUUGAACGGUGAAAAUGUAACUACAUUUUAGGUGGGACAUGAUGAGCUGAGAGUAGGGAGAGAAAGGCCUGCAGCUCCUGAACCACUCUCAUCAGACUUUGUUCAAGAUCUCCCGUCAGAUCCUGAGCAAUAUGACAAGGUGAUGGACGGGAUAAAGGAGGCCGGCGAACUUGGAGAAGAAUUGUUUGAAAAUGGGUUGGCGUACUUCAAGGGGUUAAACAAGAUAGUGAAGGAAGACCGGCAGCACAAAAAUCGGCAUGAAACUGCACAAAAACUGCGGAACUUGAAAAAUGAGGAAUAUAGCAAGAAACUGCACGCUGCGCUGCUGGAUAACCAGCCCACAGUCAACCCAGGCCUUGCUUAAACUGACCGGCUGUGUUAACCGUCACGCAGCGUGAUAUCGUUUUGUGGAUAUAUUAGAGUUUUUCCGCACAGCAACCUUACAGAUGCAAACAUACCCAUUAUGACAUUAGACAUGUAAAUUUCUUUCUUCAUAUCCAAACGUCCAAAGAGUUGACCUAGAAUUGGGCACAUUUCGUACUGAACGCCAUGUUUCUUUAUUCCAAGACCUCUAGGUCCUGUAGCGAAGAAGAAACAAACAAAGCUAUCAUGAAAAUAAAAAGCGUUGGAUUGAAUUAGUUAGUCUUAUUACAACGAUUUUGUAGAGAUCUUCUAAAUCUGAGAAGCAGCAAUUUGUUUGAAAAUUUACUGGUUUCAUGAGGUAUUUGCGCACGCAGCGAGCUGAAUAAGACAUACAGCAAAGUCACGCCAGUUUACUUCUGUGCGUGCGACUCUUUCUUGAGAGAGACGUACUAGCCAUCUCAUUUACAUGCCUAAAGCCCGGUUUAAACGUCGCAUUUUACAUGCGCCGAAUCAUAUUGCCGAAUUAAGUGCAUGUAAAAUGCGACGUUUAAAUCAAUUAAAUGCGACAUAUUUCAAUUAAAUGCGAGUUCAGUCAAAUAUUCGACUGAUCCAGUCGAAUAUACGACUGAAGUUCGCCAGUUGAUUUAAACGCCGCAUUUUACAUGUGCCGAAUCUAAUUCACAAAUUAUGUUAAAUAAAUUAUGCUAGAAUGGGAAUUAACACGUCGCCAUCGCUCGCGCUCAGCAAUUUUAUUCGGCAAACAAAUGCGACGUUUAAAUCAAAUCAGCCGAACUUAUUCAUUCGAGUCGAAUAAAAUUAGUAUUUGAUUCGGCGCAUGUAAAAUGCGACGUUUAAACCGGGCCUAAGGUCGUGAAAUGCAUAUUUGCAUUUAUAAGGUUCUUUAUGCGGAAAAGCUCUAUUGAAUCCACACGCAGGCUUUUCAGUUUAUUAUUAAAUCUGUUUUCUACUACACUUAACUUUGAUUAAUUGUAAUCAACAACAACUAGCUUAAUUUGCGUAAUCAGAUAAAAAUAUGCACAUUUUUGAGAAAAGCUUUUGUAAGGUAAAAAUAAAACAGUAAUAACUAUUUUGAACAUAUAAUAAGGUUAUGGUAUAGCUAUCAAGCUUCAUCGGUUUGAUUUGAAUGAAGAAUAUUGCGUAGAUCAAAGCAUGCAAGAUGAAAUGAAUGUUGCUAAUUGAAUAUUGAUCUAAUGAUUUGCAGAAGUCGUACAAGUUGUCACAGAUAAAUUGUUAAAAAGAGAUUUGGUACAGCGGGUGUUGGCAAUUUCAAAUAACCUUCGCUAAAACAGCACGUGGAAAUGAUAUCGACAAGACAUGUAUGUGUGUGACAUGUAUGUAUGUAACAUGUAUGCGACUUACCAGAAACCCACAGGUUUCUGAUAUAACUGAUUGCAGUACCUUGUGUAUAUAAAUUUCAAAAAAUUAAAAGUCGGAACGAUAUUUUAGGCAUAUACCUUUGCAGAAGUUAAUAUAAUAAACUUUUGAUCACUGAGAUGACGCUAUUUAGUGAGUAAAACUGUAAACUGUAAACGUAAAACGGACAAAUAAAUAAAUCCACUGUAAAGAUCU